CCCAGGCGAUGAGGCGACCGCCGGCGACGGGCCGUAAUCCGCCGCGGGAGGAAAGUCCGGGCUCCACAGGGCAGGGUGCCGGGUAACGCCCGGUGGGGGCGACCCCGAGGAGAGCGCCACAGAAAACAUACCACCCCGCGCACGGCCCGCGAGGGCCGGACGAGGGGCCAGGGUGAAAAGGUGCGGCAAGAGCGCACCGGGGGCCCGGCGACGGGCCUCGCAUGGCACGCCCCACCCGGAGCAAGACCGAAUAGGGGGCCGCCGGGGAAACCCGGCCUAGGGUGGCCCGCCCGAGUCCCCCGGGUACAGGUCGCUGGAGCCGGCCGGCAACGGCCGGCCUGGAGGAAUGGCCGCCGCCCCCGCGGGCGCAAGUCCGCGAGGGAGACAGAACCCGGCUUACGGUCGUCUGGGCCCG
rnacentral:RNase_P_RNA from 1 species